AAGCAGGCUGCCGGAACCAGCAGUGGCAACCCGCUCGGGUCCCCUUCCACACUGUGGAAGCUUUGUUCUUUCGCUCUUUGCAAUAAAUCUUGCUACUGCUCACUCUUUGGGUCCACACUGCUUUUAUGAGCUGUAACACUCACCGCGAAGGUCUGCAGCUUCACUCCUGAAGCCAGCGAGACCACGAGCCCAUCGGGAGGAACAGCAACUCCAGAGGCGCCGCCUUAGGAGCUGUAACACUCACCGCGAAGGUCUGCAGCUUCGCUCCUGAGCCAGCGAGACUACGAACCCACCAGAAGGAAGAAACUCCGAACACAUCCAAACAUCAGAAGGAACAAACUCCAGAGGCGCCACCUUAAGAGCUAUAACACUCACCACGAGGGUCCGCGGCUUCAUUCUUGAAGUCAGUAGACCAAGAACCCACCAAUUCCUGACACAAAAUGAUCCAUCCAAAGGAAUUCUAGAAAGCCCCAAAGUAACAAUAUGGGUCUUUAUAUAUUAAUAUGGAAAGACAUGCAAGAUACAUGUGAAAUAAAAGUUGCAGAAGUAUCUAUAAUGUAGGGGCAACAGGUAGUCCAGGUUUUCUAGGGACUAACGGGGUUCCUGGGAUAUGGGACUCUAGUUUUGAGACUUGAAAAGCCCCAUGCAAACAGGGACAAACUGAUCAACCUAGACAAUGACAUUUCACUUCUAUAAUGGUGACAAAUAUAGUCUAUCAAUUAAGGUUUUUUCAGGUGCAAAACACAGAAAACCCUGGCUUAUUCGACUUACACAAUGAGGAUGUUUGCCAUCAUGCCCUUAAAGAAGUCCAUAUUCAACAUGUCAGCUUGGUUCUCUGGCUCACUCCCUCAUAGACACAGAUGGCUGUCAUGGUUCUAAGUGUCCAGUUCAAAUAAGGUGACAUCCAGCAGAGGAAGACAGGCCAGAAUUGCAUUGUGGGCCCUCUCUUAAGCCAGCCUUUGGCACAGGAAUUAGCUUGGAUUUCCUGAACAAGAUGGGGUUGUUUAGAAAAGAACAAAGGUAGAUGUUAUACAGACAGCCAACGAUGUCUUUUAUGUAUACAUUUUUAUAUAUCACAUAUAUAUAUGCAUUGAAAAUUCUGCAACGCCGCCUUAGGAGCUGUAACACUCACCGCGAAGGUCUGCAGCUUCGCUCCUGAGCCAGCGAGAC
rnacentral:lncRNA from 1 species